rnacentral:rRNA from 1 species
UACGGCCGCAAGGUUAAAACUCAAAUGAAUUGACGGGGGCCCGCACAAGCGGUGGAGCAUGUGGUUUAAUUCGAUGCAACGCGAAGAACCUUACCUGGUCUUGACAUCCACGGAAGUUUUCAGAGAUGAGAAUGUGCCUUCGGGAACCGUGAGACAGGUGCUGCAUGGCUGUCGUCAGCUCGUGUUGUGAAAUGUUGGGUUAAGUCCCGCAACGAGCGCAACCCUUAUCCUUUGUUGCCAGCGAUUCGGUCGGGAACUCAAAGGAGACUGCCAGUGAUAAACUGGAGGAAGGUGGGGAUGACGUCAAGUCAUCAUGGCCCUUACGACCAGGGCUACACACGUGCUACAAUGGCGCAUACAAAGAGAAGCGACCUCGCGAGAGCAAGCGGACCUCAUAAAGUGCGUCGUAGUCCGGAUUGGAGUCUGCAACUCGACUCCAUGAAGUCGGAAUCGCUAGUAAUCGUGGAUCAGAAUGCCACGGUGAAUACGUUCCCGGGCCUUGUACACACCGCCCGUCACACCAUGGGAGUGGGUUGCAAAAGAAGUAGGUAGCUUAACCUUCGGGAGGGCGCUUACCACUUUGUGAUUCAUGACUGGGGUGAAGUCGUAACAAGGUAACCGUAGGGGAACCUGCGGUUGGAUCACCUCCUUA